rnacentral:rRNA from 1 species
CCACGCCGUAAACGAUGUCGAUUAAAAGCUUGAGCUUCGGCUUGGGUUUUGAAGUUAACACGAUAAAUCGACCGCCUGGGGAGUACGGCCGCAAGGUUAAAACUCAAAUGAAUUGACGGGGGCCCGCACAAGCGGUGGAGCAUGUGGUUUAAUUCGAAGCAACGCGAAGAACCUUACCUGACCUUGACAUCGUAGGAAUCUUUCAGAAGUGAGAGAGUGCCUUCGGGAACCUACAGACAGGUGCUGCAUGGCUGU